GCCAACAUGGUGAAACCCCAUCUCUACUAAAAUACAAAAAAUUAGCCAGGCGUCUAAUUUUUUAGAUGGCGCGCGCGUGUAGUCCCUGCUACUCAGGAGGCUGAGGCAGGGGAAUCUCUUGAACCCAGGAGGCGGAGGUUGCAGUGAACCAAGAUUAUACCACUGCACUCCAGCCUGGCAACAGAGGAAGACUCCUCUCAAAUAAUAGUAAUAAUAGAGCUGCGCCACGUGUGCUGCUCUGCUAGCGGCAGCCCGGCGGCCCAGUUGGUGUACGCCCUCUUGGCCCUCUUGGCGCUCCCCAUGGCCGGCGGGGAGCCUGUAAUCCUAAGCUCCCUGCGGGGCAAGGCGCUGCUUAUCAAGAAUGUGGCGUCCCUCUGAGGCACCACGGUCCGGGACUACACCCAGAUGAACAAGCUGCAGCGGCGCCUUGGGCCCAGUGACCUGGUGGUGCUCGGCUUCCCGUGCAACCAGUUUGGGCAUCAGGAGAACGCCAAGAACGAAGAGAUUCUGAAUUCCCUAAAGUACGUCCGACCUGGUGGUGAGUUCCAGCCCAACUUCUCGCUCUUUGGGAAGUUCCAGGUCAAUGGUGCAAAGUUGCACCCUCUCUUCACCUUCCUGCGGAGGCCCUGCCAACGCCCAGCAACGACGCCACGGCACUCAUGACCGACCUGGUCUCCAGUGUCUCUGGUGUGUUGCAACAAUGUUGCCUGGAACUUCAAGAAGUUCCUGGAUGGCCCUACCGGUGCCCCCAUAUACAGGUACAGCUGCGCUUCCAGACCAUUGACAUUGAGGCUGACAUCCAAGCCCUGUUGUCCCAACGGUCCAGCCAUGCCUAGGGUGCCCCUCCUACCCCGACUGCCUGGCAGUUGCAGCACUGCCCUCUGGGGGGUUUUCAUCUAUGAAGGUGUUUCCUCUAAACCUACAAGGAGGAACACCUGAUCCUCCAGAACAUACCCCCUCGAGAUGAGCGCUAGUCCUGUCCAUCCCAGUCUCUCUGCCAGAACAAGGCGAGUUUCCCCACUAAUAAAGUACUGGGUGUCAGCAAAAAAAA